rnacentral:misc_RNA from 1 species
GAGAUGCUCCUUAAAGCCCCAAAAGCAAAAGCCCAUCAUCGGUUAAUAAUCUCAUCCCAAAACAAAAUCAGGACAGGUAAAACUUAACCCUAAUUCCAAUUAUUCUUCUUUAGCCAAAUAUCACAAUGUUCCAAGUAGUUUAGCAAACUGAGAUCAUCUCUUAACCUUGUUACCCAUACAAGAAGCCCUGUAUUCAUGAGCAUCAAAACUCCGUGGGCGCUUGGAAAAAUCCUAAUGCCCUUCAAAAACAACAAAUUGCUAAUCCCAUAUCAAAUAAGAAAUAAGACA